UAAGGUCAAGCUACAAAGGGCGCAUGGUGAAUGCCUUGGCACUAGGAGCCGAAGAAGGACGCGAUAAGCUGCGAUAAGCCUUGGGUAGCCGCAAAUAGGCUGAGAUCCAGGGAUUUCCGAAUGAGGAAACUCACAUGGGUAACCCCAUGUAUCAUGCACUGAAUACAUAGGUGUAUGAGGGUAAACCCGGGGAACUGAAACAUCUAAGUACCCGGAGGAAGAGAAAGAAAAAUCGAUUUCCUAAGUAGCGGCGAGCGAACGGGAAAGAGCCCAAACCAGAAACUUGUUUCUGGGGUUGUGGAUAGAUCAUAAAAGAAGAGGUAUCUUAAUCGAAGAGGGCUGGAACGCCCUACCAUAGAAGGUAAUAGUCCUGUAGAUAAAAAGAGAAAACUUCGAGAUCUAAUCCAGAGUACCACGAGACACGUGAAACCUUGUGGGAAGCAGGGAGGACCACCUCCCAAGGCUAAAUACUACCUAGUGACCGAUAGUGAAGCAGUACCGUGA
rnacentral:rRNA from 1 species